UUAGGGUAACCCUGGAUUGGACAAUGACAUAAAAGGGUCCAUAGGUUCAAAAGGAGAACAGGGAAGACAGGGUGAAAGAGGACCAAUGGGCUCACCAGGGUCACCAGGCUCUCGGAGAACCACAGGAACAAAAGGUCGAAGAGGAACACCAGGUCCACAGGGGGAGAAAGGAGCUCCUGGUUUGACGGGCUUUCCAGGAGAACCAGGAUUUCCAGGAUCCCAGG